rnacentral:rRNA from 1 species
GAUCCUGGCUCAGGAUGAACGCUGGCGGCGUGCCUAACACAUGCAAGUCGAGCGAAGCACUUUGCUUAGAUUCUUCGGAUGAAGAGGAUUGUGACUGAGCGGCGGACGGGUGAGUAACGCGUGGGUAACCUGCCUCAUACAGGGGGAUAACAGUUAGAAAUGACUGCUAAUACCGCAUAAGACCACAGCACCGCAUGGUGCGGGGUAAAACGUACCGUGGUAUGAGAUGGACCGCCG